rnacentral:rRNA from 1 species
GAUGAACGCUGGCGGCGUGCUUAACACAUGCAAGUCGAACGAUGAAAGCGGGAGCUUGCUCCUGCUGGAUUAGUGGCGAACGGGUGAGUAACACGUGAGCAAUCUGCCCCGAACUCUGGGAUAAGCGUUGGAAACGACGUCUAAUACCGGAUACGACGCGCGAAGGCAUCUUCUGCGCGUGGAAAGAAUUUCGGUUCGGGAUGAGCUCGCGGCCUAUCAGCUAGUUGGUGAGGUAACGGCUCACCAAGGCGACGACGGGUAGCCGGCCUGAGAGGGUGACCGGCCACACGGGGACUGAGACACGGCCCAGACGCCUACGGGGGGCAGCAGUGGGGAAUAUUGCACAAUGGGCGAAAGCCUGAUGCAGCAACGCCGCGUGAGGGACGACGGCCUUCGGGUUGUAAACCUCUUUUAGCAGGGAAGAAGCGAAAGUGACGGUACCUGCAGAAAAAGCACCGGCUAACUACGUGCCAGCAGCCGCCGCAGUAA